CCUACGGGAGGCAGCAGUGAGGAAUAUUGGUCAAUGGGCGUAAGCCUGAACCAGCCAAGUCGCGUGAGGGAUGAAGGUUCUAUGGAUCGUAAACCUCUUUUAUAAGGGAAUAAAGUGCGGGACGUGUCCCGUUUUGUAUGUACCUUAUGAAUAAGGAUCGGCUAACUCCGUGCCAGCAGCCGCGGUAAUACGGAGGAUCCGAGCGUUAUCCGGAUUUAUUGGGUUUAACGGGGGCGUAGGCGGCCUGUUAAGUCAGCGGUGAAAGUCUGUGGCUCAACCAUAGAAUUGCCGUUGAAACUGGGAGGCUUGAGUAUGUUUGAGGCAGGCGGAAUGCGUGGUGUAGCGGUGAAAUGCGUAGAGAUCACGCAGAACCCCGAUUGCGAAGGCAGCCUGCCAAGCCAUGACUGACGCUGAUGCACGAAAGCGUGGGGAGCAAACAGGAUUAGAUACCCCAGUAGUC
rnacentral:rRNA from 1 species